ACUCUUCUGAAUUCUGACUCAGAAAGGCUGAGUGAAGUUAGAAUUUAAAAUCAAAAGGUAGAGAGAUGGAGCAAUUACAGUCUGUGAACAAACUCUUCAAUGGAGGGUGAAGAGCGGGAGAAUGUGCAGUGACAUUGUGAGCUUCAAAUCAGCUCUCCAGGGCCCCAGCACAGAAUGUCAGGGAGGGGACUCUGAACAGGUCUAUACCACCUUCGCUGAAACUACAGAUCCUUAUGAAGUCUAGCAAAGGAGACGACAGAAGAGUGACCACAGGGAGUUCUCAAUUCCUCACAUGUUUCAGCUUCUAUAAAAUGUCAUAUAUGGGGAUGAAGAGAUGGCUCAGCUGUUGAGAGUACAAACUGCUCUUGCAGGGGACCUGGGAUGAGUUCCUGGCUCACAAUCUUUACCCUCUGCUACAUCAGUUCCAGAGGAUCCAACACCUUGUCAGGUAUCUGAGGUUUUGCAAGGGCUGACCACUCUGCACUGGACAGCCAAUAAACCUCUUUCUAGCAAAUGGAAACCAUCACAGAAAACCACAACUGGACCCAAUGCAGAGAUGCACAGAUAGUGGAGAGCCCAACCCCAGCUCAGCACAGUGACCAACCAAGCCAAAUAUCUUCUUGAACUGGUACAUGAUGAAUGAAGAAUGUACGCUGAGAGCUCGUUGGAAGGAGAAAUGAAGAGAGAGGCCAGUUUUAGGCCAGCGUUUUCUGGAGCUGAGGAGGUCGAGUGCUGUUCGUCCUUUGGAUACCAAUUUAUCAUCAGCUGCAUGGCUCGAAUAUGUUUGUUCCCAUUACAUAAACUAUCUCUUUACUGUG
ensembl:lincRNA